rnacentral:rRNA from 1 species
UACAUGGGGUGCAAACGUUGCUCGGAAUUAUUGGGCGUAAAGCGCGCGUAGGCGGUUACUCAAGUCGGAUGUGAAAGCCCUCGGCUUAACUGAGGAAGUGCACCCGAAACUGAGUAGCUAGAGUACUAAAGAGGGUCGCGGAAUUCCCGGUGUAGAGGUGAAAAUUCGUAGAUAUCGGGGAGGAACACCGGUGGCGAAGGCGGCGACCUGGGUAGAUACUGACGCUGAGGCGCGAAAGCGUGGGGAGCAAACAGG